UACGAAGGGGGCUAGCGUUGUUCGGAAUUACUGGGCGUAAAGCGCACGCAGGCGGAUUGUUAAGUUAGGGGUGAAAUCCCAGGGCUCAACCCUGGAACUGCCUUUAAUACUGGCAAUCUCGAGUCCGAGAGAGGUGAGUGGAAUUCCGAGUGUAGAGGUGAAAUUCGUAGAUAUUCGGAGGAACACCAGUGGCGAAGGCGGCUCACUGGCUCGGUACUGACGCUGAGGUGCGAAAGCGUGGGGAGCAAACAGG
rnacentral:rRNA from 1 species